CACAUUCGUCAUCCUCUGAAGAACUGAAGAACAGCUCUAGCAUGAAUCUCUUCUGUUUCUCGCUGGAGGGCUCCAUGGACAGUCUGCAUGAGGUGGUGAGGGACGCUGGAGAGACGCAUGUCUCCACCGACUCCAGGAGAUCCAGCAGCUCUGCUGAGCUUCUCAACAGCGCUCGGUGUUCAAGAGCCACGUCUGUGACAGAGGAAGGAGAUGUACCAGGAAUCAUACAGAGGACACAGGAAUCUCAUUAUGGCCGACAUGAGACACGAACAUCAGCCACAACAAAUGCUAACUCACAACUGGCACUAUGGUCAGCUGGAGAUGGACACGUCAUUCCACUUUACCCGGAGAAUUCCAGCCUUUCCAUGAGACCGAGACAGAUCCAUGAGUGCUGGACUAACCCUACAGAGCAUCUCCAGGCCUGGACACCACGCCUGCACAUUUUCCAUCGACCGCUCACUGAGUACCA
ensembl:lncRNA